ensembl:lncRNA
GGAAGCAUGAUGGAAAAAAAAGAAGAAAGAAGGUUGAAAUGAAAAGGAAAGAAAAGAUGGAAAUCAAGAGGAACAGAAGAGAAUUCACCAAAUGAAAUAUCUCCUGGAGUAUGUGUGUGCAUGUGAGAGGAGUAGUGAAAAACACGAUUUUAAAACAAGGCCUGGCAUGGCUUUGAAACAUUCUCCACCACCCGUUGGAGAGCCCGCCGUCCCUGGAGAACGUCCGGCGUCCGUCCAAACGCGGACGAGGCGCGUCUUGGAAACAUCAGGGUACAAACCGGUCCCGCCCACCUGCGGCGCGGCCUGUGCCUCGCCGGACUCCGCUGGGCUGUUAGGGCUUUAACCCUCUGUGCCACGAAUAUCGCGUCUUCGGAAGGUAUGAACGUCGAGUUUGCAGAGGACGGGAGAGCCUGCUGCUUUGGCGGGGUUUCCUCCGGUUGUUCCCAUGCUGACACUCAGCCGGGAUCUCGAUUGAGUCCUGCCCCUUCGAGGACAGCUGCUCUGCCUGCUCCGAGGGCGACGGAGAAAGCUGGGUCGUGCUGCCCUUCUGCAUCUUGGAGUUCUUAACGACGUUCUUUGAAGAAUCAGGAGGUUUUCUUUACAUCUGCAUCAGUCCUCACACGGUGACGAGUCCUUAAGUUCCCGCAUCUAACAACUUACUUGCCUCUGAAAUGAAAGAAAAUAACUAGAAUCAAUAUACAGCACAGAGCUGCUCCAGCUACCGGUGGUGAAAGGCCGGAUUGUUGUUCCCGUCGGUCACAGAUAGAUACUGCUGUAAAAGAAGUGAAAAUAAAAACGGAGACCUGCCCUGCACGGUGACCUGAGCCGCCAGCGCCCCUGCGGCCGAGGCUGCUCUGCCCCCGACGGUGCGCACAGCGGGCCCUCGCCUCCUCAUCGCGGCCGCGAACAGGCCACGUGGUGGGACAGCCGUUUCCCCAACUCGAAGACGGCAAAAUUACCGGCUCUCUCUAGUGAGGGUGGAGGGCGUCCCUUGGUGAGCACCCGCUGCAACCGUGUCAGGCCCGCGGCGCAUCCCGGGGCUGCACUAGCGCCACCUGCUCCGCGCCGCGGCGCCUCUCCGGGCUUUCGCGUGGAAGGGUCACCGUCUGCAGCGAAGACAAGACACUGCACCCCGUGUGUCCAAGUUAAAUGAUGCCUUCAAAGUAGGAGCCCCAGCUUUUAUCAUGACAUGCCGUAGACGUUACGUUACUCUUCUCAAUUGCUAUGAAAGCAUCCGGAUGCUUGCUCCCACGUUCACCGGCCCCCCGCGGAGCAGGCUGGCGAGCCGGGUGCGCGGCGCCCUCUCUUCCCAUGGCAUCCUUGGUUUUCAAACCUCUCUCUCAGGCCUAAGGUACGUGCGUGUACCACCCACACCAAAUGAGGUUCCAGCACUUUCUCCAGAACUUUUGGGGAAAAAAGUAAUUAUUUCUAUGGAGAUUGCAAUAUAUGCAGCGUCUUUUCUUACCAGAUUUUUUUUUUUUUUUUGUAUUGUUAUUGGAAGAAUUCUCAGGAGUGGGCUGGGACAAAUGGUGUAUGUAUUUCACAUUUUAAAGGUGUAGCUAGAUGGCCUUCCAGAAAGCAUUCACAUUUCCGCCAGCAACGUGUGAAGGCUUCCUUCGGAGACCCAGCUGUCACAGUGCUGUCGCAACUUCGUUGGUCCAGUCUAGUGGGGGUUGAAGUGAUAGCUCAGUGUUUCCUAACUUCCUUUCGCUGACUACUAGUUAAUGUAAACGUUUUUUCACUUGUUUGUUGAUAUCUGGAUUUACACUUCUAUGAAUUGUCUAUUUACAUCUUUCCCUCAUUUUCUCUUAGACUAUCUUUUUCUUAUUUUCAUAAGAACUUUUUGCUUAUUAAAAAAAUUAGUCUUUUGUCAUCUACUUUAUAAAUAUUUUUCCCAGAUCUGUGAUGUGUCUGUUUAUUGACUUUGUCUCUGGUAUCUUUUCCAUAUGCAACCUCUUAAUUUUUUAUAUAGUCAAAUAUUUAUCCUUUUCUUCUGUAUCCUCUGAUUUUUCAGUCUUGGUUAUAAGUUCUAGGUUAUAUGUCAUAGCUUAGAUUUUCUUAUGUAAUUUUUAUUAUCUUACUUUUUUAUAUUUAAGUUUUAAUCUGGAAUUUACUUUCACAUUUCCUUCCAAAUGGACGGCCAGUUUUGCCAGCAUCUUUUACUUAGGAGACCAUACUUUUCCCACUGACUAAACCAUAAUCUUUGUGACGUUAGUAUAUGACAAAGAUUAUGGUUUAAUCAGUACCAGAUUGGUUUAAUUAUUAAGGCUGCAUCAUAUGUUCUGACCUCUCAUUUCAGUUUUAUAGUUUUCUUAAGAAUUUUUAGUCAUUAAUUUUUCCAUAUGAAUUUUAAUAUAAUUUCAUCCAAUUCCAAGAAAAAAACCUGUUGGGAUUUGAACUGGAAUUGCACCAAAUUUAUAUAUUAUUUGGGAGAAUUAACAUUUUAUUAUAAGUAUCCUUUUCUAUGUAUCCAGAUCUUAUUUUAGUUCUUAGAAUAAUAUUUUAUAGCUUUAUUCAUAUAGAUCCAAAGUCUUUCUUGUAAAAUUUAUUUCUAAAUAUUUUAUAUCUUUUGUCACAAUUAUACAUGAAGUGUUUUUCCAUUUUUCCUCUCUCAGUGCUUAUGUCUAGAGUACAGAAAAGCUAUUUUUAUAUUCAUAUAGUAUACAGGCACUUUGCCAAAUUUUCUCAUUAAAUUUAGUAAUUUUUUAUCAAGUGCCUCUUGGGUUUUCUAAGCACGCAUCAUACCGUUAGCUGUUUCAGUUAGGGGUGGGCCAAGUUAUGCUCUUGUGACAAAUAACUUUAAAAUCUCAGGGGUUUAUCACAGUAGAAUUUUUUUUCAGUUAUGCAAAACUGAUGUGGGCGCCGGGCACCUCUGCUCCAAGUGUCGGCUUUGCAUCCCGGCUGCCCUCCCUCCCACGCCCGUGACAGCUGGAGCCUUCCAGGUCCAGCACUUAC